CUGAGGAAACGGUGACUUUGGUUCCUUUCCCCCAGUAGUCGAAGUAGUCGUUGUGUCUCUCGAGCACAGUAAUAAACAGCAGUGUCCUCUUCUCUCAGACUCUUGGCUUCAAGAUACUGUGUACUUUGAGACACGUCCUCACUCAGCGUGAAGUGAUUUCUCA